rnacentral:rRNA from 1 species
CUCAACCGAGGAAGGGCCUGGGAAACCACUGGGCUGGAGUGCUGGAGAGGGAAGCGGAAUUCCCGGUGUAGCGGUGAAAUGCGUAGAUAUCGGGAGGAACAUCGGAGGCGAAGGCGGCUUCCUGGACAGACACUGACGCUGAGGCGCGAAAGCCAGGGGAGCAAACGGGAUUAGAUACCCCGGUAGUCCUGGCUGUAAACGAUGGGUACUUGAUGUGGGGGGGAAAAAGGUCCCUCCGUGUCGACGCUAACGCGAUAAGUACCCCGCCUGGGGAGUACGGCCGCAAGGCUGAAACUCAAAGGAAUUGACGGGGGCCCGCACAAGCGGUGGAGUAUGUGGUUUAAUUCGACGCAACGCGAAGAACCUUACCGGGGUUUGAACGGGCACUGCCAGGGGCAGAGAUGUCCCGUUCCUUUCGGGGACGG